GUACAGUUUCUCAAGGCGUUUGUUUUUCAAGCCUUGGCAGUUGGCACUUUUCUUUUGAGAAAGCAGGAGUUGUUGGGGGCAGACCCUUAGUCUUAUUUCCAAGACUUGGGGUUUGGCUUAGUGUAGAAUUGUGAUCAUGAAAGCAGCUUUGGUUUACUGGUGGCAUAGCACUCAAAUAAAUUUGGGUUUAGCUAAAAGCCCUCAACAUAUAAUGAGGAUUACAAGUUAGGGAUCGGCCUGCCCCUGAAGCGUUCGAUUUCAUUUCGAUGGGCAUCUGGUAGGGCUCACUGCUUGCUGGGGGCAGAAGGCAGGCUUUUCAUCUACUGGAGCCUGCAGCCCUCAGGUACUCUGCGUGCUGGCUUUGCAUGUGGGCCUUUAUGCAGGGUGAAUAGCUCUGCAUUUGUUGUAGAAUCAAGGACUAAGUAAAGGGGAGAGAAGAGAUUACCAUUUGAGCACCCGGGUUCCCACUAAACCAAAGGUAAGCUCUUUGUAACUGUUGAUCUGGGGAAUAAAUCCUCCUUUGUAAUUCCACAGAUGCAGGAAGCCUCCUUCACACCAGCUCUUCCUGCACAGUUUCUACUGACCUUUCAAGUCUUGCAGACCUGCCAAUGUGAAACUUCUCUGACCUUAAUUGCUGGACGCCUUUCCAUCCCCCUCCUCUCAAAAUGGAAAAUGGAAGUUACCCAGCCACAGAAAAUCCGUGCACUGUCGGUGAUGAAUUGAAGGUUAAACGACAAAUCUUCCUCGAAACUAUUCCUGUUGUCUAGUCUAUGAACUGAAAACUGGAUUAACCUUUAAUUACCCUCAACGAUCUCUCAACCCCG
rnacentral:lncRNA from 1 species